CAGCCUGGCGAGACGGGCGGUGGAGUGUCAACAAAUGACCCAGUAAAUGUAUCAUAAUUAUAUAAGAAGUAUGGAGAGCAUCGAGUUGCUACGUAGCAAAGCCCCAAUAUGUUUCAAAACUAGUAUUAGUAUCGACGACGUCCAUUGGACUGAAGAAGCAGGUGUUUUUUGGCGCCUUUUCUGUAAGUUUGAAACUGACAGUUAUACAAAUAUAGAGGGUUCUGCAACAGUGCGUCGGUCUUCCAUAAUAGCCUAAAAAAAUAAUGCAGCUUUUUUUUGCUUAUUUGCCGCUUUUCCGACGUCUAAUCCGCUCUCGUGAUUGGUCACUUUUUGCAUCUUAGAAAAGUACUUAAAAAAAAACCUCACAUUAGAAUGAGUCGAAAAUUGGUCAAAGCGUUUCUUAUUCGAUUCCGCUCAGAUUCACUAUUUUGUUUGGCGAUCCGUUAUAAUUUACAUUUUGUGAUUUGCUAUUAUUGGCUUCCUUCCAGCUGUUCAGGCUGGCUUGAAUCUUGGUCGGGCGUUCACGUCGUUGCCAGUUUUACCGAUGGUCUUUUAUUUACAGUUUAUUAAAUGUUAAGAUAACCAGAUCGAAUAUCACAAAACAAAAUAGUGAAUCUGUGCCGAAUAUAUGCGAGAAUCUGUGUGCCGAAUUUCAGGCAAAUCUGAUGAAAAAUUCUUUUAAAUUGUACUUUUUUCCGAUUUCCUUGCUUUAUUGAUUUUUCGAAUAAAACUGCAUUUAAAACGUUCAAGCAGUUUUUAAAGGAUGGCGCCACAUGCAGAUCCGAACAAAGUCAGAUUGUCAAUGAGUCCGAGGCCGCUCUACUUAAUAUGGCCCUCCAUCAUGGGGGACCGCCACCAUUGCCGCCCCUUCUGUGGCCACCCCUGAUAUAUUUAGAAUGUUGGAGGCCCUGCAAGGGCAGGUAAACGCCUUAGUGACAGGAGACCUGCAAGGCGCCCUAGGCGCAGUAGCCACCGCGGCCGUGGAAACGGUGGCGGUUCAAUUUUUUUUUUAAAUUUUUAAUAAAUAAUUAAAAA